rnacentral:rRNA from 1 species
CAGUAGCCGCGGUAAAACGUAGGGUGCAAGCGUUAAUCGGAAUUACUGGGCGUAAAGCGUGCGCAGGCGGUUUUGUAAGACAGAGGUGAAAUCCCCGGGCUCAACCUGGGAACUGCCUUUGUGACUGCAAGGCUAGAGUACGGCAGAGGGGGAUGGAAUUCCGCGUGUAGCAGUGAAAUGCGUAGAUAUGCGGAGGAACACCGAUGGCGAAGGCAAUCCCCUGGGCCUGUACUGACGCUCAUGCACGAAGGCGUGGGGAGCAAACAGGAUUAGAUACCCCCGUAGUCCCUGUCUCUUAUAC